rnacentral:rRNA from 1 species
UCGUGCUACUGGGCUGUAUCUGACACUCAGGGACGAAAGCUAGGGGAGCGAAAGGGAUUAGAUACCCCUGUAGUCCUAGCCGUAAACGAUGGAUACUAGGCGUGGCUUGUAUCGACCCGA